CCCGCUCCGCCCGGGCCUCCC
rnacentral:misc_RNA from 1 species